AGCAUGAGAUGGCUGUGACUUGAUCCUACCCUCUGCUGGGGUGUGUGUGUCAUCCGUGCUGGAACCCAGCAGCUGGUAACUAUAUCUCUGGACCAGUCUCCCUAUUCAACUCCAUGUGUCAAUAGUGAACAUCUUCUUUUCACCAUCACAAUCUUCAGGGAUUAGGUUUGUUGCUCCAGGGACACCAACACCAAUUUGCAGCUUGCCAGUGAAACGGCAAUUGUUUCCAUGAUCCCUCGCCUCCUCUGCCAACUUCCGCGUUCCCUGUUGUACUGCAGCAAACACACCCAGAGCAUCUUCCUUUGUCAUCUUAGCAGUUCCUAGCAUCAAUCUCCCCUUUCACCCUAUUUGUAGUACUCAAACAAGCAUCCAGCUCAUCCCUUGCAACCUCCAGCCAUUUCUGUAUUUCCUUUGCAUCUGUAAGGUACAACAUAAAUUAACCCUGUCUACAGAAGACACUAAAGGACAUUUUCAACAUCAUGCUGUCUCCAAGUCUUAAGUUCUUAGCAAGAAUUUGCAUUUUCUUACUGUAAAUUGGAUAUGAUCAAGACAGCAGUGGUUUCAGGUGAUAGCUUCAGUUGGAUUUGUUUUGCUAACUGGCUUCAAAGCCUCUUGUUUUUGUUUUGUUUCCAAAUGCUUCUUCAGAGCUCUGCUAGUGCAUGACAUGCUGUUCAUGGUUUGACUGCUCUGUCCUCUCUCUCUGCUGCUAAAUGAAUUUGUGAUCCGUUUAUUAUAUAUAUUCUUUUUUCAUAUUUGUACUGAUUGUGUUACUAAUGUUCUGGACCAUGGAAAUGAAAUUCAAUAACCAAAGUUACCAAAGUGGCCUUUUGAAGGAACCUUAAUUUUAUUAGCUCAGGGGGAGUAUGGAAUUUGAGCCAUGCUGAGAUAACAUCACACGGUAGGUCACACCCAAGGGCUGACAUUAUCUCUCAGGGACACACACUCCUGGGGUGUCUUAUUAAUUAUAGUUAAUUGCAUGGAAAUUAAUGAGCUUUUUCAGUGGCUACUGGGCUACUCUACAGCUGCCAGAAAACCUAUAUUAACUUUGAUUUUUAUGUUUCUUGGUCUUUGAGCAGUUAAAUGCUUUCACUUUAUCUCAAUUUACUGUCUGCUCUUCUAGUGUAUAACUAAUUUCAUAUUUUUUGUUGCUUCCUAAUACCACUACUAUAUGUGCUUUCAGUAAGAAAUUUUUCCACUAUUUUUAUUGUAUAUCAUCUAUGCCAAAGAAAGUAAAUUUGCCUCAUUUACCUUAAAAUUCCCCUGGAUUUGAGAGAGGUUUAAAAGCCAUUUGCAAGUAUAAUCAUCUAAGGGAUAUAAUGCAUGAUUCUCCAUGGUCUCCAGUUCUUAUUUAGACAACAUCCAGACAGCCAAGAUAUCGAUAAUAAAAUACUAAAAUGGGGUCAUGAUGUUGCUGAUAAUUAACUUCAGAAUUCUGGUUAAACGGCUGUAUUAAAAACCUAAUACCUUCCUGAAACUAAAGCAUUAAUAUUAAAGAACAUGGGCUAUUUCAAUGCCAGAAGUGAAAAACCCAAACAAGAACCUGUAUUUCUGAGGGAAUUUGUUAGCUUGGGAACAGAUAUUUUGGGUUUCCAUUUGACUUGACAGAUCUUGGUCCCUUUUGGAUAUUUCUGUACUCCACAUGAUAAACACAUGUAUUCCAUAUUCAUAGACUUGUAAUACUUACUAAACAAAUUUAACAUUCAA